rnacentral:rRNA from 1 species
UGGGGAAUCUUGCGCAAUGGGCGAAAGCCUGGCGCAGCGACGCCGCGUGAGGGAAGAAGGCUUUCGGGUUGUAAACCUCUUUCAGGAGGGACGAAGCUACUCGGGUUAAUAGCCCAGAGGGUGACGGUACCUCCAGAAGAAGCCCCGGCUAACUACGUGCCAGCAGCCGCGGUAAUACGUAGGGGGCAAGCGUUGUCCGGAUUUAUUGGGCGUAAAGAGCGUGUAGGCGGCCAGAUAGGUCCGUUGUGAAAACUCGAGGCUCAACCUCGAGACGCCGAUGGAAACCAUCUGGCUAGAGUCCGGAAGAGGAGAGUGGAAUUCCCGGUGUAGCGGUGAAAUGCGCAGAUAUCGGGGAGGACACCCGUGGCUAAGGCGGCUCUCUAGUACGGUACUGACGCUGAGACGCGAAAGCGUGGGGAGCGAACAG